GUGCUCUUUUCAGCAGCAGACACACUAAAAUUGGAAAGAUACAGAGAUUAACAUGGCCCCUGCACAAAGAUGACACAUAAAUUCAUGAAACAUUCCAUAUUUUU